rnacentral:piRNA from 1 species
UGCAUUAAGCAUGGAAGCUCUUUCCAAACU